GGAUGAGGGACAGAGCAGAGAUGUUCACCAGCUUGCCAACCCCUGAGUGAGCCCAGCCAAGCUCACUCAUCAGGACCAGGAGGAAGCUUCGACAUCUUCCAUUUCAUGACCCUAUUUGGCAUUUGACAGGCCGGAAGCCACACCAGGCAUCAGAUGAGAGGAUAGGAAACCAGCCGUUGCCCAGAGGUUCCUGGGUCUCAGAGAACAAAAUCCAAGUGUGGGAA